rnacentral:lncRNA from 1 species
ACUAUUUCAUAAGGUUUUUCAGCAACCAGAGGCAAAUUUGUUUUCGAGUUACAACUUAUAAUGUGUUGCCGUGUCAUCUGAUUCCUAUAUUGAGCACAUUACACAUAAACAUUAUUCCUACAUUAACCAUACAACUACUUAUGCUCAUUGACACAUCUUCUAAACUGGGGCCCACCGUACAACCCUACAAUAUUUGGGGGCAUGAAACACUAGCAAAUCUGGACAGGUACCUUUGGGUUUCAAACCUGAGACCACACGGGACAAACCCAUGUGCCUCAGCCACCCUAAUGAGCCCCUGUUGGUUGAUGCUCAUUAAAUAUUCUUGUACAAAAUAUAACCUUAAUAAAAGAAGACUGCUUACUCAACCUAUAAACAUAGUAUGACAGCCUUUUCUUUGCCACCUAAUUUGUAUUUCAUUUGGUUGUACAAAGGAUGCCAACCAGGUAUGCCUUUAGAUAUGAUAGUAGCAUCCCACAAUCCCCUUUUGGAAAAAGAUUACUGUUUAAUCGAGUAAAAGAAAAACAACUCUUGGGUCUACCAACUUGGAUAACCAAGUGAUGAACUUGAUAACUUCUAACAGCGGAAUUUAAAAAACUAAAAAUAAAAAUUCAUCAAAAAUAAUAUAAAACAACUUUGCAUACCGGACGGAGUGGGAGAUCCAUCGGACUAAGGAGACACGUUAUUCUCGGUACAGUUCGAUCCCGAGGAUGAUGAUACCUACAAGAUGGUCCAUAUUUACAGUCCCCAGUUUUCAGAUAAUACUCGCAUUCAAGUUCGCCAGGCCUCUCUGGGAAAACUUGUUCACUCCGGUUGCUGCUAGAAGGACCAACAGAAGAGGGUAUGGAGGUAUAAGGGCUUGCAAGUCCGUGUAUUGGAGAAGAUAGCUGUGUUACUCCAUAUAAAGAAGUUGCUCCAGGAGAUGGUACUAAGGGACUGCAACAAGUAAUAACAUAUUACCAGUUAGUAAUGAACUUCAAUCAUAAUAUAUCAACCUGAAUAUGUCUUUUAUCAUACCGAACUACGGACUCCAACCCUGAAUCGGAAAACAACUCCGGGAGGAAUCAAGACAGGACCGUAAGUCCCUUGCACAUAUGAUCCAUUUAUUAUAAGUGGAGGCCUAGGCCACCCUCCAAACUGGCCUGGAAUGGAGCCCCCCCCCCCCAAAUACUGUUCUGCCAAAGGCACAGGAGACUGCAAUACAGAAUUGGGUGCAAUUCCGGUUGUUUUCCAGAAGUUGUAGUGAAGAUGGUUGGCAUGCCACCUGUUAUGAAAUUACAAUUGCUUUUUAGGAUGCCAAUUGCAUUCCGCCCGUGUUCCCAUGCAAUAACUAAGUUCAUUCUGGCCAAAAUUUGAAACAAAGGAAUGCAACCGACUUUAAAGAUUAAGGUGGAAACCAAAUGUGGAGAUAUUGUUGUAGUCCAGAGCUUGACAUGAUGGUCAUUUACAGGAAAUCAAAAAUCGUUUUGCCCCCAUUAAUAAAUAAUAGGUGAGCUCUUUUUUAAGGAUCCAGCCCUGUUAUAAAAAAAAUAUAAUUUAAAAAAAAAACAACUGUGAGCCACUUGCUCACAAAUUUCACAAAAGUCACACACCACCAUAUGUGGAUGAGAGGGAAACAGAGAGAAAUCAGCAAACCGGUCGUAAUGGGUAUCCAUAAAUAUUUAGGUGAGCUCGGUUUAAGGAUCCAGCUCCAAAGGUUGCAGGACGCACCAAAUUUACAGGUCCCAGUCUUUAAAUAAUACUGCACAUUAGACAAACAUAUGCCACAAUCACAUAUGAAGUUCAAAGCUCAAACAAAUAAAUGGACAACAUAACAAAGUUGCCAAAAAGUUUCCAGAUCUCCAUUGUCAUUAUCAGGCAGGAAAUUCACAUUUUACAACAGAUCAGAAAACUACUGCAUACCUCACAUACAGGUUCCCCUACUAUCUCUGGGUAAUCCCCUGUAGCUCUUACAGUUGCCAUGACCUACGUGCAGCAUCAAACCGAAAUCAUAAACAAAAGAUAACAAAAUUCACAAGCAAAGACGAUUUAAGUUACCAAUAAAAUCCAAGCAGUUGUAACUAAGACGACAUUUCCCACUGCACCGAGCCCAAAACACAAAUAUUAGGCAUUUUCAUCAAAUAUAGACUAGUUUAACUAUGUCAAAUAAAUUCCAAAAAUAGUUCCCAUUCUUUUCCCCAGCUUUCUCAGCAAACAAACAAUCAUCUAGUUUCAGGUAAAGGGACAAAAAACUACCUGCAACAAAACACUCAAACUUACGAAAAUUCAAAACAACCUAUAUAUCCUGUUGCAGUCACCUAUAACUGAAAAGCUUGGUACUAGUUUACAUAUCAAAACCUGGCAAUUAAGCAGUAUCGAAAAAGCUCAUUAACCGAUUGCAAUGCAAGUUUACAACGAACAAGGACUUACCGCAGCACGAUCACGAGGAUGGUUGUACCGGCACCGACCACCGUAUCCACAGAACCCGGUUCGCAUGUAGUAGACACAGUUGGGCACGCCAGGUCUCUCCGGAUAUGACUCGCUGCUCGUCAGCCCCAAUUGCCACAUUUGCUCUAAAAGUCACCCCCAAACCAGAACAAAACCCCAAUCACAACCCCACAUUACCGAACCAAACACGAAACCCUAGAAACCCCAGAUUACGAAAUUAGCCCAAAUCGAGCUCAAACAAAGCGAAAUUGAAACGCCGAGCAAGUAAAGGAGUACCUUCGAGGCCGGAGAUCCGAUGAUGAGGAUGAUGGAGCCAGGGUGGCCAGCACAGACCCAACCGGAUAUUGAACUACAUGCAUAUCAACGAGAGAUGAAGCUGAGAGGUUGUACCUCAUUUGCAUGUAGAUCCAAACCUGCACUGACCAUUUUGCAGGUAGAAUGUACACGGUUGCACAGUUGCACUCCCUGUCCAAACAAAAGCACGUUAAUUUUCUCCAUAGAAUAUGACAUUGUCAACAAAUUAAUGAAAUAUACGCAAUUCGCCAUAUAUAUGGGAUAAUGCUCGUAAUAAUCGACAUAGGGGUUUUGAACAAAAAAAAUAAAACCAACAUAGGGGCACAAAAAGGCACGACAUCCAUUUUGGUUUCGAAAUCUUGAAUCUGAUCAAGUGAAAGAAUCAUACGACUCUGACUUCCAACUCUGCUGCUGCACUGAAGCAUCAUACUUUUCUUCAUAUGGUUGCCAGAUUCGGUGAAAUCCCGUCCGAAUUCCGUACCGGUACGGACGUACCAGUACUUUUUGGAUUCGGUGGUUCAUCUAACCAUCUCCAAUAAUUUCUAAUCAGAUUACAGAAAAGCUGUAAUUUUUGGGAAGAGAGGAUCGAAACAACUGGAAUUUUGGGAAGCUCUGUGCUUCUGGUUUUCGUCAGGUAGAGGGAAGACGAUGAGGGAGAGGAAGAGAGAUAAAAUAUAAAGUUUAAUUGUACUUUUUAAUAUUUUUAUUGUGUUAGUUGAGGAUUCCAUCUGGAGUACUGAUUUUUCAGAGAAGAUGCUGUGCUUUGAAAAAAAACUGUUGUGAGAAUAAUCGGUUGUGCUAUGAGAAUAAGUGGCUGUGAAAUAAAUCAGCUGAGUGUUUGGUAAACAUUUUUGUAAAAGUGCUUUUGGAAAGAAAAAAAAAGCAUUAUGAUAGUGGGUCUUUUCAUUAAAGGAGCACUGUAACUCCAUGUGCUUUGAAAAAAAAGCCAGUUUCCAAAGCUACAAAUAGCUGCUUCAGCUUUUUCCUUUGAUUUCAGCUUAUUCUCACAGCAGCUUCCAAAAUAAGCCCUUUUUUUUUAGUUUACCAAACACCUAAAACCCUUACAGUUUUUUUUCAUGGGUGCUUUUUUUUAAAGCACCUCACUCCCAAACCACCCCGUAAAGAGUCGGAGGAGGCCGAUAGCAUUUCCCAAGUUCCAUAUUAAUGUAAUAUUUAUAUUAUUGGCUUAAAUGUUAAAAUGGUUCUUAUGUUUUAGUUAUUGACUCAAUUUAGUCCAUGUGUUUUCAAUUUGGCCAAUUUGGUCCUUGUGCUUUAUUCAUUGGGUCAAAUUAGUCCAUGUGUUUUCAAUUUAGCCAAUCUGGUCCUUGUGUUUAUCUUCGUUAGCCAAUUAAGGACAUUUUAUCUAAUUUUAGAAAAAAAAAUUAUAAAUUAUUAUAAACUUAUUUAUAAAAUUAUUUAUUUGAUUUAAAAUAUUUAAAAAUGAAAUAAAAUUAAAAAUUAAAAAAUAUAUAUUCUCCUCCCAACUCUCCGACCUUCUCCCUAACAUUACCCCCUUUCUUUUCUAUGUCACAACCUUAAUCGUUUUUCAGAUUGGAAGUUUUAUCUCUUAUAUGUGUUAUUUCUCAUUGACUUUCAUUUUUCUGUAAAGAGAAAGGGUAAUUAUAUCUCAUAUAAUUUUUCUUAUGAAUUUUUUAAAAGAGAUUGAAUGAAAUGUCCUGAAUUGGCUAACAUAGACAAUUAAGUGUCAAAAUAGUUCCUAAAAUAAAUGGGUCUGAUUUAAUAAUCCGGUGAUUAUUUAAUACAAGGCUUAAAUGUCAAAAUAGUCCAUGUGUUAUAGCCAUAUGUCCAAUUUAGUAUUUGUGUAGUUUAUUUGACUAAUUUAGUCAUCGUGUUUGUCUAUAUUAGCCAAUUAAGGACAUUUCAUUCAAUCUCUUUUAAAAAAUUCAUAAGAAAAAUUAUAUGAGAUAUAAUUACCCUCUCUCUUUACAGAAAAAUGAAAGUCAAUGAGAAAUAACACAUAUAAGAGAUAAAACUUCCAAUCUGAAAAAUGAUUAAGGUUGUGACAUAGAAAAGAGAUGGGUAAUGUUAGGGAGGAGGUCGGAGAGUUGGGAGAAGAAUAUAUAUUUUUUAAUUUUUAAUUUUAUUUCAUUUUUAAAUAUUUUAAAUCAAAUAAAUAAUUUUAUAAUAAUUUAUAAAAAAAAAUUCAAAAAUUAGAUAAAAUGUCCUUAAUUGGCUAACGGAGAUAAACACAAUAACCAAAUUGGCCAAAUUGAAAACACAGGGACUAAAUUGACCCAAUGACUAAAACAACCAAAUUGGCCAAAUUGAAAACACAUGGACUAAAUUAACUCAAUGACUAAAACACAAUAACCAUUUUAACAUUUAAGCCUAUAUUAUUCUGACUAGACAAUUAAGUGAAUUAAUUGUUUUUUAUUUGUUGCUUACAAAUAAUCAAUUUAAACAAAAAUAAUUGUUUAUAAUUGUAGACAUCGAAAUUUCGGUAAAUAAAUGUUGACCGAUAAAUCAAAGUGUCAACGCUCAUGUAUUACAUAAAUUUUACACGUAGCGUGUGACUCAACGAAAAUUGAAAUGAGUUGGAAAAGUCAUCAAAUAGGACAUGUGUCAACACCUGGCAGAAAUGACUUAUUUCAUCUGGGAUAUUAUAUUCAAAAUUAGGCCUUGGAAAAUUCUAUAAAUACAAGCCAAUUUCAUUCAUUUGGGGGGAACCAAAAUCAUUAAGCAAGCUCUGAAGCUCUGAAACUCCGAAGCUCUCAAGCAUCCAGGUUCCCGAAGAAUCAAGAAAGCUCUCUUCGUUCUUCGUUCAUCGUUCUUCCAAGAUCAAGCCCCAACGGCCCUUUAGAUCAACAAUCAUCCACCAAUUCAAGAUCAAGCCCCGACAGCCCUUGAAGAAAGCACCGCCGUUCAUCAUCCGUUCAUCCAAGAUCAAGCCACAACGGCCUUUUGGAUCAACAACGUCGACAAAUCCACACACAUCCAACCGUUCUUCAAGAUUAAGCCCAAAAGCCCUUGAAGAUCUGUUCAUCACUGUUUCUUCAAGAUCAAGCCCAAAAGCCCUCGAAGAUCCGUUCAUCACCGUUCCUCAAGAUCAAGCCCCAACGGCUCCUUGAAGAUCCGCUCAAAUCCACUUUCAAAGAUCAAGCCCACGGCCCUUAAAGAACGUUCAUCCAAGAUCAAGUCUCGACGACCCUUGGAUCAAUCGCACAUCCACCAAUCAACACCUUACGGAGAUCAAAUCAGAUGAUCAAAUUAGAGAGAGAUUGUAACCCAAAACUAUCAAAAUACAAAUAUUUGUUUGUGCACGUUGUUCUUGUCUAUUUCGUUUCAGGAAUUUUCCGUGUUUACAAAUUGGCACGCCCAGUGGGACAAUCUCUACCUCUCAUCUCUUUCUCCGUUCAAGGAAUCCAAACACACCUCAAAGUCAAUGGCAUCAAGUAAGGGACAGGCGUCUCUCGCAACCACUGAGGGAUGGAUCCUAAGCACUUCUGCCGCAAAUGGACAAUCCAUUGGCCACAACCGCUCCUCAACAUGCCACUUCAAUGUUUGUGCCGCUAAAAGAACAAGGGGAGCAUCAAAGGUGUGAGUCUGUCAUCAACCUGACCUCGCUGAGGGCACCGAAGCAUGCUGUUGAGGCACACAAGAUGACAUCCCAAAACAGCCAACGACGUUCUUCGUCAACAUCUUGGAUGUCUAAAGGAAAGUCACGUCUAUUGGUUGCACAAGUCAUGACCAUCGGCGUUACCUCCAUCGAAGAACAACUGGCUCAAAUGAAUGAAGCGAUCGCAAGGCUAACACGGAUUGUUGAAGAAAAAGACUUGCAAAUCGCUGCACUCGUCAGCCGACUGAAGCCACAGGACGACGAGAACCCCGACCCAGAGAAUGAUCCACUAAAGAGAAAAGAUGACGAAGAAGAUGAGCCUCAGGUGGAGAAAAACGAUGUGAAGCCGGAGCCAGACCAAGCAGCGGCACUCAUGAGAUCUCUUUCUAUCCAGCAGCUGCAAGAGAUUAUCACCAACACCAUCAAGGCACAGUACGAAGGGAGCUCAAAUACCUCCGGGUUGUACUCAAAGCCGUAUUCAAAGAAGAUCGAUGCCUUAAGGAUGCCGAGGGGUUAUCAACCACCAAAGUUCAUGCAAUUUGAUGGAAAGGGAAACCCGAAACAGCACGUUGCCCACUUCGUUGAAACUUGCAACAACGCAGGAACCGAAGGGGACUACCUCGCCAAGCAGUUUGUGCGCUCACUGAAAGGAAACGCCUUUUAGUGGUACACGGACCUAGAGCCUGAGUCCAUCAACAGCUGGGAACAGUUGGAAAGGGAAUUCCUCAACCGCUUCUACAACACCCGUCGCACUGUGAGCAUGCUAGAGCUAACGAGCACAAAGCAAUGGAAGGAUGAGCCAGUCAUUGACUACAUCAACAGAUGGCGCACUCUAAGCCUCGACUGUAAAGACAGGCUCUCGGAAACCUCUUCAAUCGAGAUGUGCAUCCAAGGCAUGCAAUGGGGUUUGCAAUACAUCAUUCAAGGCAUUAAACCACGGACUUUCGAGGAAUUGGCCACUCGCGCCCAUGACAUGGAGUUGAGCAUCGCCCAUCAUGGGAAGAAAGAACCGAUCGCCGACUACAAGAACGAUAAAGUUCUUGGGCCAAAGUUGGAGAAGACUGCGUGGAAACCCACCAAGGAAGCAAUGACGGUCAACACAGCUCCCGUCAAAAUCCCUACACGAGGCAAGGCAAUUCAAACCGAAGCUUUUCGUGAUCAAGAGAUGCGUAGACGCACUUUGAAGGAGCUUGAGGAGAGGACUUAUCCAUUCCUCGACUCUGAUGUGGUUGCCAUGUUAGAAGACUUGCUGGAAAAGAAGGUGAUUAGUUUGCCUGAGUGCAAACGGCCAGAAGAGAUGAAUCGCACUGACAGUCCAAGGUACUGUAAAUUCCACCGCUUCAUCAGUCAUCCGACAGAAAAAUGUUUCGUGCUGAAAGAUCUCAUCAUGAAGCUGGCUCAGAAAGGAAUCAUCGAGCUAGAUCUUGACGAUGUGGUGAAGUCAAACUAUACCACUUUCACUUCUGGCUCUUCCGACUCAAAGUUUUCACCUCAACCGCUGGGGGCAUCCUCCAAGACAAGCAAAGUUGAAGGAUGGACUCAAGUCACUCCUAAGAAAUUGCACAAGAAGCAUACGUCUCAUCCACAAGUCCGCCAAUCGGAAAGGGGGCAAAGCAGCUCUUGUCAACCUUCAAAGCAACGUGAACGUGUUGAAGAUGAUGAAAUUUCAACACAUAGACCAUCCAUCCCCAUCACGAUGCGCGAUUUCUUUCCUGAAGACUUCUUCAAUCACUCGGUCAAGAUUCCUUGCUAUGAAAAUUGCAAGGAAAGCCUCUCCAGGAUCGUUUAACAAAUUCACAAUGCUUCUUGUUCGCACGAGCCUAAACUGCACGAACCAAAGCUCCUCGCUUGCACGAGCCUAAACUGCAUGGCACAAUGCUCCUGGUCUGCACGAGCAUAAAAGGCAACACCAAUGCUCCUGGUCUGCACGAGCAUAAAAGGCAACACCAACGCUCCUGGUCUGGUCUGCACGAGCAUAAAAGGCAACACCAACGUUCCUGGUCUGCACGAGCAUAAAAGGCGACACCAAUGCUCCUUGUUCGCACGAGCCUAAGCUGCACGAACCAAUGCUCCUUGUUCGCACGAGCCUAAACUGCACGAACCAAAGCUCCUUGUCCACACGAGCCUAAACUAUAGGACACAAGGCUCAUCGCUUGCACGAGCCUAAACUGCAUGGCACAACGCUCCUGAUUCGCACGAGCAUAAAAUGUGACACCAACGCUCCUGGUCUGCACGAGCAUAAAAGGCAACACCAAACACUUCUUGUCUGCAUGAGUUAAAACUGCAAACGGCACAAAAAAGAAAAUACCAAAAAAAAAAUAUGUAUGUAUUUGAACUACGUUACGACUUGAUCUCUUCUUUGGAGGGGUACGUAGGCAGCUCGAAUGUUCAAAUUUUUCGAGUUCAGUCACAUCAAAAUAAAAAGAAUAAAUGUUUUAUUAAAGAAGGUCAAUUUUAUUACGAAUUUAUUUUGUUAAGAAAAUUUGCAAUUUUCUUUGUACAAAAUUAAAUUACAGUUUCUUCGGAAAAAAAAAGGAGGAAAAAACAAAAUUAAAUCAGAAGAUGGAAGCUUUUCUCCGCACUCGGCCUACUGGGCCUUUCUCUGCUUGGCCUGCGAUGCCAGGAUCCAUGCCAGCAAAACCCUAAUCACCAUAACCACGUGGCGGUGGAAAAACAAAACAACAUCAAACACAAGAAAUACAAGCAGCCAAGCUCUCCAGGUGGGAGGCAGAGGAGAAAGAGCAGCAUUAGUCAUUUUCGAAGCUCGAGCACCAUGGAUGCCAAGUCCGUGUAUUCCUCAUCGAGUUCAGGGUUUCGAACACCUCCUCCUUAUAGCCAUGCACAAACAGCAGCCUCCAAGAGCUAUAAAUAUUUGAGAAGCUAUUCGGAUAAUCAACAUCAGCACCAGCACCAACAACAACAUUUAUCUAAGCAAUUGCUUCAGCAAGCGCAGUUGUUCUUCUCUAAUACCUACAUGCAGGCCCAAGCUCUACAUUCCAAUAGUAACACCUCUACUCAAUCUCCUUCAAGUGGGUAUUACCAUGGUCCAAGACGCAGACCUGAGCAACAGCAGCAGUCACAAGGCUCAUCUGGGACUUCCUCGAGUGGGAUGUUGUCACUCUGCCCUCCCGUUACACAUUCUAAUAUGAGCACCAAUGAUCCUGCAAAGGCGGCAGCUACUACAGCUGCCAGCAACAUGAAAGGCGGUAACUUAUCCUUGCAUGCUCUUAUGCAUGAUCAGUUUGCUGCAGCACAAUCCUCCGGGCCACACCAGCUUGUACCUGUAGGUUUCCCUUAUGUACAUGCUGCUGUUCCUAGUACGGUCCAGGUAAAACCGGCAGAACAGAAGAAACAACCCGCCGGUGAGUAGAACAGUUAUCCCUUGGCGCAACAUUGCAACCCCCCCCCAAAAUUUUACGGAUGAAAAACUGGAAAAGGAAGCUGAAAUCAGUUUAGGUGGCGGGGAUUGUGUACGAAAAGCUUGAUUCUUGCCCAAGGAAACGAGAAUUUGCAUUCUCCCUCUGGCAGCCUAAGAAGAAGUGGAAGAAAAAGCAAGAACAAGACACCGGGAAGGUCUAGGUGGAAUGGAAUUUGAACCCACAAUUUUGGGAUGAAAGUUUAGCAGGAUGGGAAAUUGCAGGAAAAGUUGGGAUGUUUUGUUGGGGCAGAAAGAGAGAAGAACGGCAUAAGAGGAGGAUGUCACCCAAAUCCAAGUCCGGCGAGCUCACGGACCUCAAGCUAGAAUCCAGGUCCGUCUCUCAGCUAACUCUCAUCUCUCUCUCGGUCCGUACACCCCUCAAGCCCACUCGUCUCCAUAGCUCCACCGUCAACUAUUACAUUUCCCUCAAAGCCGCUGUCCAUCCACGUGGUGCUGAGCUUGAUCGCGGCCGGGUCAAAAGGUCCGACCAAGGACCAGCUGCUCUCGCUCCUCCUGUAGCAGCACCGUCAGCAGCAGUACCCCACCCACGUUUUGGUUCGAUAAGCUACCCUCCUCCAAUAUAGCAAAGUCCAAAGUCAUCGAGAACUUCAAGGUUCUGGGCGUCAAUUUCGUCCUGGGUGAUCUGUACGAUCACGAGAGCUCGGUGAAUGUGAUCAAGCAAGUCGACGUGGUGAUCUCGACGGUGAAACAUGGUCAGUUGGCUGAUCAGGGAAAUAUCAUUACUUACGCAGGCAGCUCGUUUUUAAAGUCCAUGCGGAGCAGAUGUUUGUUGGACAUGGAGAUCGGUUAUCCAAUGUCAUCCAAACAGAAACUCAAAGCCGGAGAUCAUGAGAGCAGCCGAAGAAAGAGAGAUGUUCUCCGCUCCCUGCUGCUAUCGACUCCCUCAAAGUUCAGACGGCUGCUCCUUGUUCCUCUCUGCCCAACGAGAGUCCCAUCCGUGAGCCCAGAUACCACAAUGUGCACCCUCGUCUCGGCCGAUAGCAACGGAAAGGCAGCAGCAAAGUGGUGACAUUCGGAGACCGUAAGCCCACCGUAAUUCUCUCUCCGUCUCUCUUAGACGAACAACAAUAGUGUCGCUCACUCCAGGACCAGCUGCUCUUGCACCUCCCGUGGUAGCACCGUCGGCAGCAAGCAAGUCAUCUUCCUCCGUGCUCCUCCUUCUUCCUCCUCCAAGCUCCAAUCCUGCACCCUAUAUAUAUAUAUAUAUAUAUAUCUAUAUGUAUGUACGUACGUAUGUAUGUAUGCAUGAAAAGGACAAAAAAAAAAUAAUAAUAAUAAUUUAUAAAAAAAGGGAAAAGAUGAGACAUGGUGCACCCGGCACCGAAAGCGAAAAUAAAAUAAAAUAAAAUAAUAAAAUAAUAAAAAAAAAUAUAUAUAUAUAUAAUAAUAAUAAUAAUAAAUAUAAAAAAUGAUGGUGUCAGCCAUCACCCUAAAAUAUAUAUAUAUAUAUAUAAUAAUAGGUGCAUGAUUAAAAAAACAAAAAAAAAAAGGAAAUGAAGGUGGUGGUGCGUCUGGCACCAUGUGAUAAAAAAAAAGGGAAGUGGUAGGUGCAUCCAGCACCGAAAAAAAAUAAAAAAAAAUGAGGGAGCAUCUAGCACCAUGAGAAACAUAUACAAAUAAUAUAUAUAUAUAUAUAUAUAUAUAUAUAUAUAUAUAUAUAUAUAUAUAUAUAUAUAUAUAUAUAUAAUGCAUUUAGUAAAGUCCAUCUUUUAUUUAUUUCUCUAAAAAAUUUACAUAAAUUCGCGUUUCGCAUGUCAUAAAAAUUAAAAAAAAAAGAAAAAAAAAAGACAAAUCAAAUUUACAGGAGGGGAUCUUCAAGGUUGCUUGUUUGAAGCCGUACCACUCGGCGGAACUCCAGGAAGAAGAGGAGCCAAAGGUUGAUCAUCUGGAGCUUCAUUACGCGGUACAGCCCCAGAAGAUGAAGGCAAAUGCUGAUGGAACAAACCCACAAACCUCUGAUGAUCAAGUAAAAUCUGACCAUCAGAUUCCUGCAUCUGGUCAAUCUUCCUCUUCAUGUUUGUCGCAUAGUUAUGUGCGAGUUUAUGCAACUGUUUAUUCUCCUGCUUGAGCCCUCUAAUCUCCUGUUUGAGACUCAUCACUUCAGCCGCCAAUGAUUCAACUUGACGGGUUCGAGCAAAUAGGCGUUGGGCCAUAUUAGACACAGAACCUGCACACUGCACACUGAGAGCCAGAGAAUCCUUAACAGCCAACUCAUCAGACCGUUUGGAAAGUAGUCUGUUAUCUCUGGGAGUGACAAGGUUUCGGGCCACCACCGCAGCGGUCAUAUCAUUCUUCACCACCGAAUCCCCAACGGUAAGAGGACCAGUAGGGGAUAUGAAGGAUGGGCGCCAUAUGUUGUCUGGAGAAGGUGGGACUGCCUCUUCACCAAGGUUCAAAUCAAAACGACGGUCAAAGGGUCCAGACAUUUUCAAAGGUGUUGAAGAAAUAAAAGGUCGGACAAAUCAAGAUCUUAGAAGUGCAAGAAUGGAGUUUCUACAAGCGAAAAUUCAAGUGUGCUUUGAAACGAACUGCAUGCCUCUAUAAAAAUCAGCACUCAAUGAGAUUUCAGAGAUCGAAGAGGCGAGCUCAGAAUUCGAAGAGGUCAUUCAAAAAUCGAAAAGGCAAGCUCAUAAAUCGGAGAAGCAUCUUGCUUUUCCAGACGCGUCGGCACCCAUCACACGUAAACUCAGCUUUGCGGAAAUCACGGGCAAUUUGUCGAAGCGCCGAUCCUAGAUAUCGAAGAAGCGCUAGUCUUUUUCAGCCUCGUCAACACCUGUCAUAUGCACACUCAGCUUGGCGAAAAUUACGGACAAUUUGUCGAAGAUUUCUGAUAAGAAGAAAGCACGUGAAGCCAUACCGAUCAAUCACGCAUUGGUUGCCGACACGAGUAAAAGAAUAGUACCUCUACAGGUACUAAAGAAUUUCCUAUAACUGUCCACCUUCACCUUCCAUAGCAAGGCAGGCAUACAGAACCUUUCUUCAUCUCUGAGAACCUUUCUUCAUCUCCGAGAAUGUCUUCCCAACAAAGCCUCUCGGGUCACUCAGUGUUCCUUAUUCCUUGGGGUACCUCUGCAAACAAAUGACACCAAAGCAAAAGUAUCUCAUAUCACCAAGGUAGAAAGCAAAAGUAUCUUAUAUCAUGCACUCUCCCUGUCCUUUCAUUUGUCCUUGUUUUUACCUGCAAAGACAAGGAUAAAGAAAGCAAUAUGCCGGAACCUCCACUCAAACUCGGGUAAGGAACCGACUGCUUGGAACCCUUCCCUGAUUGCCUACCUAGCACUGCUCUCGAGUACUCGUCUCCCACUGUUGCUGUACUUCCAAAGAAGCUGUCACAUCUACCUGGAGAACAGAUAAGGCAAGUGAAAAUGAUACCUUGCAGCAUGUGGAGACAACGUGCAGAAGGAACAAGCAGAGAAGAAUGCGGUCUGCACAGUCAACUCAGCAGAAGGAAUCCGAGCUGAAGAACUCGAGAAACUGCCACAUCUGCCUGAAGAAACAAGCAGAAGAAUGCAGCAUGCACAGUUAACUCAGCAGAAAGAGUCUGAGAUGAAGAACUCGAGAAGAUGCCACAUCUGCCUGAGGAACAGAUAAAGCAAGGGAAAAUAAUACAUUGAAGCAUGUGGAGACAAGUGCAACAAAGCACGUGCUGAGUCAUCCGCUACUUCUUCAAAAUCAAAAGUAUCUCAUAUCAUCAGGGUUGAAAUCAUUCUGGACGGUGAACUUGUUUUGACCCUCAAAUUCUUGGGUCGACUUACUAGGCGUUGUGGGCUGCACGUGCCGAUUCACCACCCUUGAAUCAAAUCCUUAAAGAUCAAGUCACCAACUGGAAGAAUAGCCCAUCAAUCUUGAAGAUCACACCGUUGACCAAACUGCUCAGGUGUGAAUUAGAAAGAUUGAACAAAGCAACAAGUCGUCACCUUCACCUCGUGCCUGCUUGCCAUGUGUUCGAGUUAACCUUCAAGAAUCAAGCCUCAACGGCCCUUGAAGAAGUUUCCAGCCAAAUUCAAGAUCAAGCCUCGAUGGCCCUUGAGGAAAUCACAAGUCCGAUUCAAGAUCAAGUGUCUAUCACCCUUGAAUCAAAACCAGUUCAAGAAUAAGCUGUGGAAAGUCAACAAGUGCAACAAAAUACGUGCCGAUUCAUCCACUACCAAAGCCAAGGAUCAUCUACCACAUGAAGCUCCUUGUGGUCCAAUUUCAACCUUCAAGAUCAAGCCUCGACGGCCCUUGAAGAAAUUUCAAACAAAAGUUCAAGAACAAGCCUCAACGGCCCUUGAAGAAAUCUCCAGCCCAAUUCAAGAUCAAGCCUCGACGGCCCUUGGAUCGACAUCUACAGUAAGGGACUUCAAAACGCAUCUCCUACACGUGACAAGCACAUGUAUACGACGUGCCUUGAAGUGGGGGCAUUUGUAGACAUCGAAAUUUCGGUAAAUAAAUGUUGACCGAUAAAUCAAAGUGUCAACGCUCAUGUAUUACAUAAAUUUUACACAUAGCGUGUGACUCAACGAAAAUUGAAAUGAGUUGGAAAAGUCAUCAAAUAGGACACGUGUCAACACCUGGCAGAAACGACUUAUUUCAUCUGGGAUAUUAUAUUCAAAAUUAGGCCUUGGAAAAUUUUAUAAAUACAAGCCAAUUUCAUUCAUUUGGGGGGAACCAAAAUCAUUAAGCAAGCUCUGAAGCUCUGAAACUCUGAAACUCCGAAGCUCUCAAGCAUCCAGGUUCCCGAAGAAUCAAGAAAGCUCUCUUCGUUCUUCGUUCAUCGUUCUUCCAAGAUCAAGCCCCAACGGCCCUUUAGAUCAACAAUCAUCCACCAAUUCAAGAUCAAGCCCCGACGGCCCUUGAAGAAAGCAUCGCCGUUCAUCAUCCGUUCAUCCAAGAUCAAGCCCCAACGGCCUUUUGGAUUAACAACGUCGACAAAUCCACACACAUCCAACCGUUCUUCAAGAUUAAGCCCAAAAGCCCUUGAAGAUCUGUUCAUCACUGUUUCUUCAAGAUCAAGCCCAAAAGCCCUCGAAGAUCCGUUCAUCACCGUUCCUCAAGAUCAAGCCCCAACGGCUCCUUGAAGAUCCGCUCAAAUCCACUUUCAAAGAUCAAGCCCACGGCCCUUAAAGAACGUUCAUCCAAGAUCAAGCAUCGACGGCCCUUGGAUCAAUCGCACAUCCACCAAUCAACACCUUACAGAGAUCAAAUCAGAGGAUCAAAUUAGAGAGAGAUUGUAACCCAAAACUAUCAAAAUACAAAUAUUUGUUUGUGCACGUUGUUCUUGUCUCUUUUGUUUCAGGAAUUUUCCGUGUUUACAAUAAUAACUAUAAAUAAUAUUGUAAAAUGUAUGUUAUAAAUAUUUUUAACGAAUUCAUAACGAAUCGAACUGAAUAUCGUACUGUCUAUGUGUACCUUAUGACGAAUGGUACUUUAGGUUACUACCGAAUUCCGUACCCGAAUUGAACCACGAACUCGAACCGAACCCGUAUCUAGCAAUUAUUGGAAACAUUUUUUUUUUUUGGUUUUUUUUACUGAUAUUAGUAGUUUUUUAGGGUUUAAUUAUUUGAUUUCACAAAUUCAUUAGACACAUUACAUUGUUACAUUUUAAAUUCGUAUUUCAUAACUUGGUUGCUUGAUUCUAAUGUCGAUCCGUUACAACAGAAGUGAACUUUUUCUACUUUAAGCAUGGAAUUUUUGCUUUUGUUUUUAUUGUUGUUGCCUUGAUUGUGGUUAUCUGACUUAUUAAUACUCCAUCAUAUAUUGAGCAAUAUCAUGCGGCUCAAAGAAUUUCGUUAUGUGUUUACGCGUAUUUUGUAACAUCCCACAUCGACUAGGGGAGUGAUCCUUAAAUAUAUAUUCUCAUCCCUACCUAGCAUGAGUCAUUUUGGGAGCUCACUGGCUUCGGGUUCCGUAGGAACUCCGAAGUUAAGCAAGAAUGGGCCAAGAGCAAUCCCAUGAUGGGUGACCCACUGGGAAGUUGCUCGUGAGUUCCCAGAAACAAAACCGUGAGGGAAUGGUAAGCCCAAAGCGGACAAUAUCGUGCUACGAUGGUAGAGCAGGUCCGGGAAGUGAUAUGCCUCGGGUCGGGAAGUGACAAAUGGUAUCAGAGCCAAUCCUUGGCCGGAAGUGUGUCAAUGAGGACGUUGGGCCCCUAAGGGGGGUGGAUUGUAACAUCCCACAUCGCCCAUGGGAGUGAUCCUUAAAUGUAUAUUCUCAUCCCUACCUAGCACGAGACCUUUUGGGAGCUCACUGGCUUCGGGUUCCGUAGGAACUCCGAAGUUAAGCAAGAAUGGACCAAGAGCAAUCCCAUGAUGGGUGACCUACUGGGAAGUUGUUCGUGAGUUCCCAGAAACAAAAUCGUGAGGGAAUGGUAAGCCCAAAGCGGACAAUAUAGUGCUACGGUGGUGGAACAGGCCUGGGAAGUGAUUCGCUCCGAGCCGGGAUAUGACAUAUUUUGUCCUCUGAAUAAUUCUAAUCAAAUUCCAUUGCUCCUAAGCUAAGGUCAAAAUUUGUAGCAUAUAAGGGAAGGUUAGCAGAUACUUACCAAUUAUCCAGAGCUGGAUAUUAAGGUCUAAUUAACAUUAAUAUCUUUUUGUUUGUGUAGCAUCUGCUUGGAAAAGGUUUCAACUUUAUUUUUUAUUUGUUUGAUGAUCAAUUGAUGUAUUUUAUAAAAGUUGAUCUGCAAGAUGUUAAGAUGAUUUCUUUGUUUAUGUAUACUGUUUAAUUAUAUCAAUGGAAAUUGGUGCUGCCAUUGUGGCAGUAGAUGAAUUUCUGGCUUUUGAGAUGAAGUACUAAAAAAUUUUGAUUUCUUUUUUCUUUGCAUGCUUUUCUUUUAAUUUUGCAGGAAUUCUCACGUUGCUUUGAUUAAGUUAUACAUGGCCAUGAUAAGGUAUUGCUCACCCCCACAACAUUUUGUACAUGUGUGGCAUUAAUAUAUUUUGUUUUCUGAUUGAAUUUGUUUUCAUUCAAUGGGGUUGGUGAGCUAAAUAGCAAGUGGCUUUUUAAUCGUGUUUAAAUUGAUGUCCUAAUUUCGUUGGUUUUGUUCAUAAUUAGUGUGUUAUGUUGUUUUCCUGUGUGUUUUAUGUGUUUGUUAAUUUAUGGGAGUCUUCACAAGAAAUGUUGUGUACAAAAAUAUUUUUCUUCCAUCAUAUGUAUGAUAACAUUACAUUCAUUCUUUUAAUGUUUAAUUCACUUUUCAAAGCCAUGUAGAUAAAUACAUUUAAAUUGUAUAAAUCGCGCGUAGAAUGCCGUAAUUAUAAAAAGGCCUUCCGCACGCGCUAAUCGACAUAGGGGCCUUGAACAAAAAAAAAUUGAUGUAGGGGCACAAAAAGGCACGAGAUCUAGCAUUAAACAUCUAAAAAUGCCCGUUGCUUCACGAUAAUACCAUUGUUACAAUAUGGCCGCAAAUUGAGAGAUUUGGACCAUUCAAGAGAGUGAGAUAUAAGUCGUUCGAGUUUUUAGGUUUUUGUGAGAUGGAUCACUGAAAUGUGAGGACUGUAAAUUAAAUUGAAUUGUCCGAAUCUCUUAAUUGACAAACAUCGAACAUGAAGAUAACGAGUGGAUCUCAAUCCUCAAAUUAUUGUCGUUGGUUGGCUCCUUUUCCUUUUCGCUACUUUUGUGUUCCCACGUGGUAUUUGGUUAGAGUUAAUUUACAUUACUGGUAUCAUCACAUUUUAAUUCUACAACUGGAAACAAAAGCAACCCAAAGAAGGCCAAACUACAAGGCCAGUCUUGAGUAUUUUCAUGCUUGGGACGAACACUCAAAAUGUGUCUUUUUUUAAUACACCAACAUAUAAUAAAAAAAUAUGUAAAGAGGGCUGGAAACCAGUCGAAGCUGGGGGGCUAGGCCCUCACGCCCAUAUUAUAUUACUAGAAGAAAAACAUACAACGGGAGGACAUGGGACCUAAACCCGUCGAUUAAAAGCAAAAUCAUAUACAACCACUCCGAGUAGUCAACAUGGCCAUCACAUAUUGAAUCCAAAAAGUUGAUGCUCCAUUCACCACACAUAAUGUACAGAAGAUAACAAAAUUACUACCACUUAAAGCUCAUAACAUUGAGUAAAAAGAAUCAUCUGAAAAGACGAACAGAUGCAUCAAUUCUAUUAGAGAAGCCAAUCAUGCGGUAUACUUUGAAGAAGAUAAGGAAAACCUGAUCAACAUAUAUCUUGACCAUUCUAAGUGCAAAUUUAGAAGUGAUAUGCUCCAAGUAUGAUAUUGGACAGAAAAGACCAGGCAGAUUCAACCAGUUCUGCUGUGUCCGGCUGGGUGAGAGCAGCUAAAGACAUGAUUGUUCCCUAAUAACAUGAAUAAAUUGAGUAAACACCAAAAGUAGCAGCAAGGGAAGGAGAUGUGAUGUAGAUGAAGAGGUGUAAAACCUGUGAAUGUCCAACAACAAAGACUUUGGAGCUUGUCGUCGAGGUUAUGCAGCGCAUCAUUUCUGUCUCUUCUGAUAAAGAUGUGUGUCCAUGACUCCAUCGUGUUCCACGCACAUUCCCUACGCAUACAUCAAAACCUUCAUCUCCCAGCGAUUCUUCUCGAGAGUUUAAGAACGAUGCAUCACCUGGUUAAGAUCAAGAAAAGCCAGUAACCAAGUUCAAUGGAGUUUGAAGCACAUUAGAGCCUAAUUUAUAAUGUAUCCCAUGGAUGUUCAUCACUUUACUCAAUAGUUAGUUUUCAAGAAAAUAAAUUUCAACAGAACCUGAAAACUUCAGAUCAGGGAGCACCAUAUUGUGAGCUAUAUAUUCAAAUUCUGAAACAAUCGACUUAGUGGUAUGUUGAAAAAAAUCAGAAGGAGCUAUCAAAGUAAGGCUUUUCACUAAUCAGGCGUCGAGAGAUUCAAUAUUUUACUCACAAAUCAGUUAUGGGGAAACACUCCCCACCAAAGCAAUCUCAUUAGUCCUUCACAUCUCAAACCAGACAGAAAUUGCACUAACAAACACGACUUCUAUUAGUCCUUCACAUUCCAAACCCAGUAAGUAGCCAACUUUCGUCUGAAUCUGGAAAACAAGAAGCAGUGAAUUUAAUUUAUCUUGGUAUCUCAAAGUUACUCAGUUUAAUCACAAAUUUAACAAUUAAACAUAUAAAUGGGCAAAUUUUUAGUGAAAUAUUAAUUAGUAUAGUACUCACUGUUUGCUCGGAGCAAGAGUACAUUUGAUCCGCUGCAGAGUUUAAGAUGUCCUCUCACGCUUCCAUGCAACACUGAGACAUUUGAUCCGCUGUUGAAGCUCAACACGAACAUUGUGUAUAAAAUACGCGACCAUCCAACUACACAGUUCAAAACUCAAUUUAGAGCUCCUUCUAGUGAGAUAUUAAUGGAAGAAUGAAGGUACAAAACCAACAAAGAAAAAUAUGAAGAGGGACCUUGCAUGGGUGGCUACUUCCUAUAGUGUCAGUUAAUUUUAUGGUGGAAACUCAAACCCGUUCUUCGUUUAUCGCAUUCGCAGAAAUGAGGCACGUGUAUAAGCAAAAGCUCUAUGGUUAUUCGAUUCCUUCAUCCCAUCUGUUUCUUCUUUGAAUCAGUACUGCAUAUCCAUGAAAGUACAUUAAGAAGCAAAACCAAAACCGAAAAAGUUUGAAAGCUUUUUUAUAUAGUUUGGAAAUUGCCAAGAACUGACACGGUUGUGCAAUAUGAUAAUUGAAUUAAAGAAGUCCGUACAAAUUGUCAUCUGGCCGGUUACUUGGUAGCUUCAAUUCCAUCUAAACGCUUAAACCGUCCUUGGUUUCAGCACCUGAAAAAGACAAGGGAAAUUAAAGAGAAAUUAAAAAAAUUGAAGUAAUCACCACAGGUGGCUCAGUGUUUGGGUAUAAAUUCCAGAUUCGUAUUUCACAUGGCACGUCUUGGAUUUGAUUUUUAGUAUUGGUGAAUCACACAAUGGUGACCAGGAAGAGGCUAAAAUGAAGUCUCUAAAAUAGUAGACUGCCGUGUCGAAGUCACUAAUUGAUUUCCUUUUAAAAAAUAAAUAAAAAUAAGUGAAGUUAGUGGGUAAAGAAUGCAUACUUCUUUGCUUUGGAAUCAGUGUUGCUCAACGAGAAAGCAAAAGUGUGGAUAAAAUCUUUGACCAUAUGGUAUGUCAUCUGAAAAGAAAAAUAAAAUGUUGGUGAUGAAUGAAGAAUGAAGAAUAAAAUUAAGAAACGAGAAUGACAUUUGAAUAUUUUAUAGUUUCUACUGAAUAAAGCUAGUGCAAAUUGAAACAAGUUAGAAAACGUACCUUAAUAAAUAUUAGAAAUGGAUGGGAUGUGAGCAAUCUUAGGCCAAUCCUCACCUGUUUCUUUCUUGCAUCUUUCGCUUAACAUGUCGCAAUACGAAAUUUCCAAUCUAUUUAAGUUGGGGAGUCGACGAAUCCCUUCUGGCAGUGAUGCCAAAUUAGGGCAAAAUUCUUGCAAGGUGCUGCAGUGACGUGAGAUUGCUUAUUUCUUCCAGUAGUGAUACCAACUUUGGGAAAGAUCCAAUCGUAAGCGAUUGGAGUGAUGGGAGGUUGACGACCACUUCUGGCAGUAAUGUCAGAUUAGAGCAAUCUCCAAUUGUAAGCUUCUGAAGUGAUGUAAGAUUGGCGAUCCCUUCUAACAUUGAUGUCAAAUUGGAGCAAUUUCUAACUGUAAGCUCCCGAAAGGAUGCGAGGUUGCCCAUCCCAUGAUAUGGUAGUAAUGCCAAAUUUGGGCAACUGGCAAUGUAAAGCGAUUGGAGUGAUGGGACGUUGCCCAUUCCUUGAGACGUUAUACAUUCCAAAUCCUCAAUUUUAACUAGUGACAGAUGUGUUAAUUUGGAGAGAUGAGCGGAAGAAGAAGAGGCAGAGACAACAACACCAACAUCAUGUGUAAUAUCAGAUGCUCCUCUACCAAACAAGGAAUCAACAACCUUCCAGCUGCUCUUAUAGAGAGAUAUUGUCUCCACAUUUGGAUAUAGAGGCAUGGAAGUUAGAUUAGGACAAUCCCAGAUCCAAAAUGUAGAAAGACAGGGAAAAGAAGGCAACGACAGAUUUUCCGUUGAUGAAGGAGAAGAAGCACUGUUAUGAGUGUGCGCCCUCCACCAUCCCUUCAGAACAGGGCAAUUUACAACCCUGAGGAACUCCAGGGACGUCAUCAUCUCAUCACUCAUACUAUUACUGCUGCUGGUAUUGUCUGAUAUGUACUUCAAUUUCUCAAACCCUUCAAGUUGAAGAGACUUAAGGGAUGGGAAAUGAUCCAAGGGUGGAAGAUGUUGACAUCUAUGACACCCAGUCAAUCUGAGAUCAACAAGAUUUAUGAGAGAAGAAAACCAACUCGCAAACCUCACACCACCAUAAUAAUACACGAACAACUUCUUUAGAUUUGAACGGGGUUGCAAUACUUCCAUUGACAAUAUAAUAUCCUUCUCAUCACCGCCUUAAGUAGAAUAUGACGUUGUCAACAAAUUAAUGAAAUAAACGCAAUUAGCCAUAUAUCUUUUUUAUUUUUUUAGAAAAAAUAACUAAAAGUUAAAAAAACCUUCGUAAAAAGUCAUUUUUAAAAGUAUAAUAAAUAAUACAAAAAAAAAAUUUAAAUAUGAUUUUUUAAAAAAAGUAAAUUAUACCGAAAAUAUUUUGUUAAACCUCUUUUUUUUUUUCGUCAAAUUAGCCAUCUAUCUUUUAUACAUUAAGGCGGUGGCCCAGUUUGGGGUCACGGGCUUGGACAAAAAUAAUAGGACGAAAAUGCCUCUCAGCCAAAAAAAUUCAAAACAUCAAAAAAGAAUGCAUAAAAUAAUCGAAGGAUAAUUAUGUAAAUUUACUUUUUAAUAAAAUAAUGCCCUGCUUCUUCUACAAUCUUCCACACCGUUCCAUUUUCUCAGUAGGCACCGAUCAGUCGAACACCGUCCAGGAAUGCGUCUCCGAAUUCAUUAGCUUCGUCACCAGCGAGUAAUUUUCACCUCUCUCUCUCUCUCUCUCUAUCUCUCUUUCUCUCUCUACUGUUAUUUACUUUUCCUUUCAAUCGGACUUUUUUGUAUUGAUUUUGAAUUGGGAUUUUUUGGGGUGUCUAGGGCCAGCGAUAAGUGCCAGAAGGAGAAGCGAAAGACCAUCAACAGCAACGAUUUGUUGUGGGCGAUGGCCACGUUAGGGUUUGAGGACUAUAUCUGCAUAUAAUUAGUAUAUAGGAUCUUUUUUUUUUUAUCGAAAGUUUUUUUUUCACCUUUUGGUUUAGGCUUCUCUAAGAUAUCGAAGCUAUAUUUAAUGAUUUCAUGUUUUAUUUAAUUGUGUUACAUCUUAAUUUGAUGGUGUUUACAGAAGGAUACAUGUAGAUGUAGCAAUUGUUUUGUAAGAGCCAAAGAAAAUGUACAUCGGCUUGGGUUAGCAGUUGCUAUUUCAUCCCACAGAUGGAGACGCUAUUGAUAUUGAGUAAUCUUCAAAGAAAGUCACCUCUUCAGAGAAGCAAUAUGGCAGCAUUCGUUAAGCACUUUCCAAGGUACGGACUUCACCAAUCCUAGGUUUUAGUUUGUUUCUAAUUUAUUGAGUUUUUAGGGGCAUAUUAUGUAAUUAAAGGGGAAGGAGGGGUCCAAUUUGGUUUCGAAAUCUUGAAUCUGAUCAAAUGAAAGAAUCAAAAUUCAAAGAUAAUAUGCCACCAAUCAUAGGACUCUGACUUCCAACUCUGCUGCUGCACUGAAGGAUCAUACUUUUCUUCAUACAUUGGAAACAUUUUUUGUUUUUUUUGGUUUUUUUUACUGAUAUUAGUAGCUUUUUAGGGUUGAACUAUUUGAUUUCACAGAUUCAUUACAGACACAUUACAUAGUUACAUUUUAAAUUCGUAUUUCAUAACUUGGUUGCUUGAUUCUAAUGUCGAUUCGUUACAACAGAAGUGAACUUUUUCUACUUUAAGCAGGAAUUUUUGCUUUUGUUUUUAUUGUUGUUGCCUUGAUUGUGGUUAUCUGACGGAUUAAUACUCCAUCAUAUAUUGAGCAAUAUCGUGCGGCUCAAAGAAUUUCGUUAUGUGUUUACGCGUAUUUUGUACUCUGAAUAAUUGUAAUCAAAUUCCAUUGCUCCUAAGCUAAGGUCAGAAUUUGUAGCAUAUAAGGGAAGGUUAGCAGAUACUUACCAAUUAUCCAAAGCUGGAUAUUAAGGUCUUUAACAUUAAUAUCUUUUUGUAUGUGUAGCAUCUGCUUGGAAAAGGUUUCAACUUUAUUUUUUAUUUGUUGGAUUGAUCAAUUGAUGUAUUUUAUGAAAGUUGAUCUGCAAGAUGUUAAGAUGAUUUCUUUGUUUAUGUAUACUGUUUAAUUAUAUCAAUGGAAAUUGGUGCUGCCAUUGUGGCAGUAGAUGAAUUUCUGGCUUUUGAGAUGAAGUACUAAAAAAUUUUGAUUUCUUUUUUCUUUACAUGCUUUUCUUUUAAUUUUGCUGGAAUUCUCACGUUGCUUUGAUUAAGUUAUACAUGGCCAUGAUAAGGUAUUGCCCGUCCCCACAAACAUUUUGUACAUGUGUGGCAUUAAUAUAUUUUGUUUUCUGAUUGAAUUUGUUUUCAUUCAAUGGGGUUGGUGAGCUAAAUAGCAAGUGGAUUUUUAAUCGUGUUUAAAUUGAAGUCCUAAUUUCGUUGGUUUUGUUCAUAAUUAGUGUGUUAUGUUGUUUUCCUGUGUGUUUUAUGCGUUUGUUAAUUUAUGGGAGUCUUCACAAGAAAUGUUGUGUUCAAAAAUAUUUUUCUUCCAUCAAAUGUAUGAUAACUUUACAUUCAUUCUUUUAAUGUUUAAUUCACUUUUCAAAUCCUUGUAGAUAAAUACAUUUAAAUUGUAUAAGUCGCGCGUCGAAUGCCGUAAUUAUAAAAGGGCCUUCCGCACGCGCUAAUCGACAUAGGGGCUUUGAACCAAAAAAAAAAAAAUCGACAUAGGGGCGCAAAAAGGCACGAGAUCAAACAUUAAACAUCUAAAAACGUCUGUUGCUUCACGAUAAUACCUUUGUUACCUUUGUUACAAUGUGGCUGCAAACCGAGAGAUUUGGACCAUUCAAAAGAGAGUGAGAUAUGAGUCGUCCAAGUUUUAGGUUUUUAUGAGGUGGAUCACUGAAAUGUAAGGACUAAAUUAAAAUUGAAUUGUCCGAAUCUCUUAAUUGACAAACAUCGAACACAAAGAUAACGAGUGGAUCUCUAUCCCCAAAUUAUAGUCGUUGGUUGGUUCCUUUUCCUUUUUGCUACUUUUGUGUUCCCACAUGGUAUUUGGUUAUAGUUAAUUUACAUUACUGGUAUCACCACAUUUUAAUUCUACAACUGGAAACAAAAGCAACCCAAAGAAAACCAAACUACAAGGCCAGACCUGAGUAUUUUGGUGCUCGAGGCGAACACUCAAAAUGUGUCUUUUAAUACACCAACAUAUAAUAAAAAAAAUUAAUAUUUAAAGAGGGCUGGAACUCAGUCGAAGCUGGGGGGCUAGGCCCUCACGCCCGUAUUAUAUUACUUGAUCAAAAACAUACAACGGGGGGACAUAGUAUCCAAACCCGUUAAUCAAAAGCAAAUUCAUAUACAACCACUCCGAGCAGUCAACAUGGCCAUCACAUAUUGAAUCCAAAAAGUUGAUGCCCCAUUCACCACACAUAAUGUAACAGAAGAUAUCAAAAUUACUACUACUAAAAUCUCAUAACAUUGAGUAAAAAGAAUCAUCUGAAAAGAUGAACAGAUCAUCAAUUCUAUUAGAGAAGCCAAUCAUGCGGUAUACUUUGAAGAAGAUGAGGAAUACCUGAUCAACAUAAAAGACCAGGCAGAUUCAACCAGUUCUGCUAUGUCCGGCUGGGUGAGAGCAGCUAAAGACAUGAUUGUUCCCUAAUAACAUGAAUAAAUUGAGUAAACACCAAAAGUAUAGCAGCAAGGAAAGGAGAUGUGAAGUAGAUGAAGAGGUGCAAAACCUGUGAAUGUCCAACAGCAAGGACUUUGGAGCUUAUUGUCGAUAUAUGCAGCGCAUCAUUUCUGUCUCUUCUGAUAAAGAUGUGUGUCCAUCUAAACGCUUGAACCGUCUUUGGUUUCAGCACCUGAAAAAGACAAGGGAAAUUAAAGAGAAAUUAAAAAAAUUGAAGUAAUCACCACGGGUGGUUCAGUGUUUGGGAACAAAUUCCAAAUUCGUAUUUCACAUGGCAAGUCUUGGGUUUAAUUUUUAGCAUUAGUGAAUCACACGAUUGUGACCAGAAAGAGGCUAAAAUGCAGCCUCCAAAAGAGUACACUGCCGUGUCGAAGUUACUAGUUGGUCCCUUUUAAAAAAAAUAAUAAUAAUUGAAGUUAGUGGGUAAAGAAUGCAUACUGCUUUGCAUUGGAUUCGGUGUUGCUCAACUAGAAAGUAAAAGUGAGGACAAAAUCAUUGAGUAUAUGGUAUGUCAUCUGAAAGAAAAAUAAAAUGUUGGUGAUGAAUGAAGAAUGAAGAAUAAAAUUAAGAAACGAGAAUGACAUUUGAAUAUUUUAUAUUUUAUACUGAACAAGGCAAGUGCAAAUUGAAACAAGUUAGAAAACAUACCUUACAAAUUAUGAAUAGAAAUGGAUGGGAUGUGAGCAAUCUUAGGCCAGUCCUCCCCUGUUUCCUUCUCGCAUCUUUCGCUUAACACGGGGCAUCUCCAAAUUCCCAAUGUAUUUAAGUUGGGGAGUCGACGAAUCCCUUCUGGCAGUGAUGCCAAAUUAGGGCAACUUUGAAUUUCAAGGUUCUGCAGUAACGUGAGAUUGCUUAUUUCUUCCGGUAGUGAUACCAAAUUUGGGAAAGAUACAAUCGUAAGCGAUUGGAGUGAUGGGAGGUUGACGACCACUUCUGGCGGUAAUGUCAGAUCAGAGUAUUCUCCAAUUGCAAGCUUCUGAAGUGAUGUAAGAUUGGCGAUCCCUUCUAACAUUGAUGUCAAAUUGGAGCAAUUUGUAACUGUAAGCUCCCGAAAGGAUGCGAGGUUGCCCAUCCCAUGAUAUGGUAGUAAUGCCAAAUUUGGGCAAUCUUUAAUGUCAAGCGAUUGGAGUGAUGGGACGUUGCCCAUUCCUAGUGACGUUACACAUUCCAAAUCCUCAAUAUUACUGAGUGACAGAUGUGUUAAUUUGAAGAAAUGAGGGGAAGAAGAAGAGGCAGAGACAUCAACACCAACAUCAUGUGUAAUAUCAGAUGCUCCUCUAACAAACAAGGAAUCAACAACCUUCGAGCUGCACCCAUUGAGAUCUAUUCUCUCCACAUUUGGAUACAGAGGCAUGCAAGUUAGAUUAGGACAAUUACUGAUCCACAAUGUAGAAAGACCGGGAAAAGAAGGCAAAGACAGAUUUUCCGUUGAUGAAGAAGAAGAAGCAUUGUUAUGAGUGUGCGCCCUCCACCAUCCCUUCAGAACAGGGCAACUUUCUACCCAGAGGCCCUCCAGGGACGUCAUCAUCUCAUCACUCAUACUAUUGCCGCUGCUGGUAUCGUCUGAUAUGUACUCCAACUUCUCAAACCCAAUAAGGUCAAGAUACUUAAGGGAUGGGAAAUGAUCCAAGGGUGGAAGAUGUUGGCAUCUAUGACACCCCCACAAUCUGAGAUCAACAAGAUUUAUGAGAGAAGAAAACCAAAUCGGAAACCUCACACCACCAUAAUACCACACGGACAACUUCUUUAGAUUUGAAUGGGGUUGCAAUACUUCCAUUGACAUUAUAAUAACCUUCUCAUCAAUUGCGUUUACAUCUUCUCCAUAUUUCCACCAUAAAUGCAACGAAUGGAGAUGCUGUUUCUCCUUGAGAGGCGUACCAACAUUUGAUUCUGACAUCACAUCUUUCUCGUGCCUCAAGUAUUUAAUUUCUAACCAUCCCCUUAAUUCCUUAAGCCUUCCCAGUUCACCAAGACCCGCAGCACUGUCCCUCAACAAAGAAUUGUUUUCGCUCAAAACAAAUCUAUUCAAUGUACGAAGACCAUUCAGCUCCCCCAAUCCACGUGGCAUUCGAGUCAAUCCAUUACAGCCUUGCAAGAGGAGAUGCCUUAAGUUGAUCAUUUUUUUUAUGUCUCUAGGCAAUUCCACAAGCCUAUCACACCGACUGAGAUCUAGUGUUUCCAAAUUCGAAAGUCCAACUAUCCAAUCUGGAAGUCUCUUGAUGCCAUCAUUAUCACUAAGAUCAAGAUAUCUCAAAUGUUUCACUUUUUUAAGACAAUUUGGUAAUUUUUCAUUUCCUAUGCGCUUGAGACUCAACAUACGCAGUGACUUAAAAUUUGAGAUAAUUGUAGCAGAAAAUGAAUUAUCUACUGAAAAACCUCUAAACUUUUGGCAAGGAAGAAGAAAGGUUCGUAUCUUUUUUGCAUUUAGCAAGGAAGUUGGCACUUCCCAUUUCGACAGAUCAACAUGAAAAUUGAAAGAUACAUGACGAAGCUUUUCAUGAAAUUUCUUUUGGUUCCGAUCAACUAUGGCGCUUCUGACCCCCGACACUAAGAUUGCAAGUUCAUUCAUGAGAUCGUGCAUUUUACAACUUGUUAUUACACCAAACUCAUCUUUUUCUUCUUCUUGAAAAAACGAUCUGCACAACAAUUCCAUAUAAUACUCAUACGCAACAUCCUCCAAACUCUCGUUUUCACCUGAUGACUUAAUGAACCCUUGCGCCACCCAAAGUCUAAUCAACAUCGGUACAGAGAUCUCAUAAUCAGGUGGGAACAAGCUACAGUAAGCAAAACAAUGCUUCAAAUGUGAUGGGAGCACAUCAUAACUUAGUUUAAGUGUUGGUAAAAUUUUAUUUUCUUCCUGAUUUAUUCUUGAAAGUUUCUUUUCUUUGAAAUUCAACCAUUCUGUUUCGUGAUAUUUGGUGUGCAACAUCCCACCUAUUGUCCUUAUAGCGAGUGGAACUCCCUGACAUUUUCUUGCAACCUCCUUCCCAAUUGCCUUAAUUGUUGAAUUCUCUGGCUCUUUUCCAUCUUUAAAAGCCAUUUCCUUAAAUAAAGACCAACUGUCCUCUUGAUUCAAACCCCUUAAGGUGUACGGUUUAGCUGUGUCUGAUAUCUUCGCAACUGUUUCACUACGAGUGGUUAUUAGUAUUCUACUACCUUUUCCACCCCCCAUUAACAAGUACUUCAAGGUAAGCCAUUUCUCCCUAUUCUCAUCCACACAUCAUCCAACACAAUUAGGUAUUUCUUUCCAUCUACUUUUCUUCUAAGAUCAUUUUGCAGCUCAUCCAUAUCAAUCUUGUCAACUUUUAGUAUUUUCUUAACAAGUAUAUCCAACUCAAAUACAUUAGAGACACAUGACCAUAUUUUCAACUCAAAAUGAUUUUGAAUCACCUCAUCGUUGAAUAUGAGUUGGGCAAGACCAGUUUUCCCCAAUCCUCCAAAUCCAACUAUGGAAAUGGUGGACACAUUCUCAGUUGAGAUGGGAUCCAACAAAAGUUGAAUAAUUGCCUUUCUAUCUUCAUCUCUCCCUAUAAUAUUUUCCUUAGGGACAAAUGAGUGAGUGAUCCUCUCUCUAAUUAUAAAUCGUGUAUCUUCACAAUUUACUUCUAAGGGAAAGGCUCUACGGGAUGCAACCUCACGAAGCCUCUUGUUAAGAUCUUUUAUCUUAUGACCCAUCUUUAACCGAAAAGCAAGUUGAUUUGAGCUAGAGAAGAAGAGGCGUACCUUCUUUGACAUCUUAGUAUUGCCACACAUCAUUUGUCUCUGCUGCGCUUCAGUAUUAAACUCAUCCAGCAGGUCAUCGGCUUCAUAAACUGCAUCUUCUACGCUUUCGAGCCACACUUUGACUUCAUUGAUGGUUUGCUUUUUCUCAGCAUCAAGAAGAACAGCUUGGAAUCCGGCAACUAUCUCCAGGAGCUUGUGGAGCUCAUCUUGGACACCCCAAAUCAAUCCGAUCUCUUGGAAAGCAAGGGAGCCUAGCCUUCCGAUGAUCCGUGCUGCAACGUUGAAGAGAACUCCUUCCGCCAUUUCUUGUAUUCAGGACAAGCAAAAACACAAGUGAAGUGAAUUAAAGUAUAAACAAAGACCGGUGAAUAUAUUGCUGCCGGGUCCUCCACGUUGUGUUGUAUUUAAUUUGCUUGGCAUCUUCCGUACUUAUUUUUCCAAUGCCGGGGUCCUCCACGUUGUGUUGUCUUUAAUUUGCUUGGCAUCUUCCGUACUUAUUUUUCUAAUGCCGGGUCCUCCACGUUUUGUUUUAUUUAAAGGACAUAUUAGCAGUAGCUUCUGCAACUAACAAAUUACGGGUGGAUACAUAUUUAAUUUGUGAUUAAAAAAUUAAUUACUUGAACACUUGUUUAUUCAUAAUUUGCUAGCAGCAAGAGGAGCUGCUGCUGAUUUUUCAGCAGUCAAACUCCGUGCUGUAUUUAAUUUGCUUGGCAUCAGUACUUAAUUAUUCAUCGUAAUUAAUAAUUAAUAAUUCUAUAUUAUUAUAAAAGUAGAUGACCGCAUGAAGAAAUAUGCAUCCUACAUCAUUUCAUAUCAGCCAACAAAUGUUGAAGUUUUUGUCAACCAAUAAAUGUUGAAUUUUUGUCGGUCAACAAAUGUUGAAAGUGUGCUGCCUGCUUUCACACUUCUUGGCCUUAACAAAGAAGAUAUAAUUUUUCUAUAUAAAAGCCUAUCAACUCACAAAUAUGAUAGUGAGGAAUAGACACAAUGUAUUGUUUCAAUUACUUUGUAAUUUCAGUAUGAUAAAUGAGAAAGACUAAUGCUGCUGAUCCAAUGACAUAGACAUACUUACCAAACCUCAUAAAUAUUGUGACUUAUUUACUUUAUAUUUCACUGCACACAUCCUUAAUUUUACUAGUUGUUGGUCAUGUUUGAGCGGUUGAGAAAAUUAGAUCUCCAAAUUCCAACGCUUCAUUUCACGGCUGUCCAGUUUCGAAAUGAGAGUUGACGGAAAAACAAAAACAAAUAAUAAACAAUUCUACUAUUUCGCCACCGACAUUUUCACAAACAUUUGUUCUACUAGAUCGAAAAAUAGCACCGAUGGUCAGACGAGCAUUAGAUAAAAAUGAAAACUAACAAAAAGUUCAUAAAAAAACCUUUAAAUUUAACGAAAAAGGACAAAUAAAAAUGUAAAUAGUACCAAAGAAAGAUAAAAAUGUGAUUUUUCGUUAAAAGACAACAGUACCGAAAGUAUUUCGUUAAAACUUCCUAAAUAAAAUUACCUUUAACGAUUCAUUUGUAAUCACUUUUAAGAGAUGAAAAGAAGAUACGAGAAAUUUCAAUACUGCAGCUUUAUUUGGAAUUUGUAUUGGAUUGCUGUGAUAUCGAAUUGACACAAGCAUCAACAGUGUGUGUGUGCGUUUCCUACUACUGUGUGGGAUAAACAGAUUUGGUUCAUAGACCAAACCAUAGACCGAAAUAUGACGCCCUUUGCACAAUUCACCCGUUACACAUUUACUGUCGACAUCUAUAUAAACAGCGCUGCUGGAGAUAAUGAACGUGCGCCUUUGGGUAUUACUUUAAAUCGAUCGACGAAACGCGCCACCUGGUCUCGUGCUUCUGCUAUUGCUCAAAGGGGAUGAAGUCUGACUGGACAGUUGCACAUCAGAUAGUGAAACAGAACCGCUCUGUGAAAAAAUCAAUCCACCUGAACUACUUGAGGUGUUCCCGGAAGAAGGCACCCUGGUUGAGUAAGUAUCCCUUUUGGAAGCUGAAAGGAAUUCGGGCCGGAGAUCCGAUGAUGAGGAUGAUGGAGCCAGGGUGGCCAGCAGAGACCCAACCGGAUAUUGAACAACAGGCAUAUCAACGAGAGAUGAAGCUGAGAGGUCGUACCUCAUGGUCUGCACUGGAUGGUCAAAUUUGCAUGUAGAUCCAAACUUGCACUGACCAUUUUGCAGGUAGAAUGUACACGGUUGCACUCCCUGUCCAAACAAAAGCACGUUAAUUUUCUCCAUAGAAUAUGACAUUGUUUAACAAAUUAAUGAAAUAUACGCAAUUCACCACAAAUAUGGUAUAAUGCUCAUAAUAAUCGACACAGGGGCACAAAAAGGCACGAGAUAUAACAUUAAAAAUCUAAAAACGUCUGUUGCUUCACGAUAAUACUUUUGUUACAAAGCGGCCAACCAAAUUUAAAUAAUAAAACAAAAAAUGUGAAGAAGAAGCCUGUGAACCAGCAAGACCAGAUAAAGAAAAGCAACCCUACAUUAGAGGGGAAAGACAUCUCAAAGAAUGAGGGCAACAGCAAUUCUAUCAACGAUGAACAAACUGAUAAAAAGUAACUUUAAUAUAGAGAAAGCAAAAAUAUAAAACAUAAAGUGAGCACUGAGAAUAAUGCAAGUGCUGAAGCACAAAACUCAAGCGAAGAUACGUAUAUAUCAUUGCAAGGGCCUACACAGCAUAGAUUAUUUUGUUUCAGGACUGCAGCAAAGGUUUUCCAGUCAAGGAACCUUCUGUCAUCUUGCUCCUUUAUUCUAAAGGACCUUUUGGAUAGAUAACUAUUUCAUAAGGUUUUUCAGCAACCAGAGGCACAUUUGUUUUUCGAGUUACAACUUAUAAUGUGUUGCCGUGUCAUCUGAUUCCUAUAUUGAGCACAUUACACAUAAACAUUAUUCCUACAUUAACCAUACAACUACUUAUGCUCAUUGACACAUCUGCUAAACUGGGGCCCACCGUACAACCCUACAAUAUUUGGAGGCAUGAAACAGUAGCAAAUAUGGAUAGGUACCUUUGGGUUUCAAACCUGAGACCACACGGCACAAACCCAUGUGCCUCAGCCACCCUACUGAGCCCCUGUUGGUUGAUGCUCAUUAAAUAUCAAAAUGUCUCUUUAAAUUACAUCAAUCACCAAUCAGGUUUGUACAACACUGAGCAUUAACUUCCUCAGACCUCAAUGGCAAAGAUUCUUGUACAAAAUAUAACCUUAAUAAAAGAAGACUGCUAACGAGACCAAGGUAAACGAACAUACCUACCUAUACUGCAGAACAAUCAAAAUGAAAAACAUGUUUUCUCAACCUAUAAACAUAGUAUGACUGCCUUUUCUUUGCCACCAAAUUUUUAUUUCAUUUGGUUGUACAAAGGAGGUCAACCAGGUAUGCCUUUAGAUACGAUAGUAGCAUCCCCCAAUCCCCUUUUUGGAAAAAGAUUACUGUUUAAUCGAGUAAAAGAAAAACAACUCUUGGGUCUACCAAAUUGGAUAACCAAGUGAUGAACUCGAUAACUUCUAACAGCGGAAUUUUAAAAAAAAAAAUUAAAAAUUCAUCAAAAAUAAUAUAAAACAACUUUGCAUACCGGACGGAGUGGGAGACCCAUCGGACUAAGGAGACAAGUUAUUCUCGGUACAGUUCGAUCCCGAGGAUGAUGAUACCUACAAGAUGGUCCAUAUUUACAGUCCCCAGUUUUCAGAUAGUACUGGCAUUCAAGUUCGCCAGGCCUCUCUGGGAAAACUUGUUCAAUCGGGUUGCUGCUAGAAGGACCAACAGAAGAGGGUAUGGAGGUAUAAGGGCUUGCAAGUCCGUGUGUUGGAGAAGGUAGCUGUGUUACUCCAUAUAAAGAAGUUGCUCCAACUGUGGGUUGAGCUCCAGGAGAUGGUACAGGGCUAAGAGGUGCCUGCACCAAGUAAUAACAUAUUACUAUUAGUAAUGAACUUCAAUCAUAUAUCAACCUGAAUAUGUCUUUAUCAUACCGAAUACGGACUCCAACCCUGAAUCGGAACAACUCCAGGAGAAGGAAUCAAGACAGGACCGUAAGUCCCUUGCACAUAUGAUCCAGUUAACAGUGGAGGCCUAGCCACCCUCAAACUGGUGGAUGCCCCCCCAUACUGUUCUGCCAAAGGAACAGGAGACUGCACCGAUGGAUAAAAUUGGGGUGCAGAAGCCGGUAUUGUUGUUCCAGCAGGCUGUGGAUGAUGGAAUUUACAGGUUAUGCCAAAUUUGCAUUGCCCCGUUUUCAAAUAGUAGGAGCAUUCAUUCUCGCCCUGUUAU